rnacentral:rRNA from 1 species
GAUGAACGCUGGCGGCGUGCCUAAUACAUGCAAGUCGAGCGAACAGACGAGGAGCUUGCUCCUCUGAGGGUAGCGGCGGACGGGCGAGUAACACGUGGAUAACCUACCUAUAAGACUGGGAUAAUUUCGGGAAACCGGAUCUAAUACCGGAUAAUAUAUCGAACCGCAUGGUUCAAUAGUGAAAGACGGUUUUGGUGUCACUUAUAGAUGGAUCCGCGCCGCAUUAGCUAGUUGGUAAGGUAACGGCUUACCAAGGCUACGAUGCGUAGCCGACCUGAGAGGGUGAUCGGCCACACUGGAACUGAGACACGGUCCAGACUCCUACGGGAGGCAGCAGUAGGGAAUCUUCCGCGAAGGGCGAAAGCCUGACGGAGCAACACCGCGUGAGUGAUGAAGGUCUUCGGAUCGUAAAACGCUGUUAUUAGGAAAGAACAAAAGUGUAAGUAACUAUGCACGUCUUGACGGUACCUAAACAAAAAGCCACGGCUAACUACGUG